CGCGGCCCGAGCCGGUCCCGAGCCGCCGGUCCGCCGGGCUGAGUCUGUAGGCGCCGUAUCCGUGGGCGCCUCGCCCGGCCGGGCCCAUGUGCGCGCGGCCCGCCCCAGGCCGCCCGGGCUUCGCCUCCGCCCGCGCCCUGGCCUCCAGCCGGGCCUCCGAGGAGCCGCCGCGACGCCCGGCCCGCGGGGCAGGUGAGGAGAUUAUAAGUCUACUGAAUGAAAAAAUUUUUCUUAAAGUUGCAUAUACUCCAAGAGAAAAUCCCAAAUGUUUUUAUAUUUUGCCUAAAUACAAAAUUUAAACAAGGAGUUUCCCCAGAAGUCAGGAGACUGAGGAGAAAGUGUGCCAGCCCCUGUUCUGGGCUCCUCAUGGGGUAGCUCAGUUCAGCCUCACAGCAGCUCUACGUGGACGGCGCUCCUGGUCCCCCGUUUACAGCUCUGUGGCCGUCACCAUGUUCUGGAAGUUUGACUUGAGCACCACGUCCCACGUCGACAAGCUGCUGGAUAAGGAGGACGUGACGCUGCGAGAGUUAAUGGAUGAAGAUGACAUCUUGCAGGAGUGCAAGGCCCAGAACCGGAAGCUGCUGGACUUCCUGUGCAGGCAGCAGAGCAUGGAGGAGCUGGUGAGCCUCGUCACACAGGACCCGGCCCUGGGCGUGGAAGAGAAGGUCCGCUUCAAGUACCCAAACACAGCCUGUGAGCUGCUGACGUGUGACGUGCCGCAGAUCAGUGACAGACUGGGAGGGGACGAGACUUUGCUCAACCUUCUUUACGACUUCUUGAACCGUGAGCCGCCUCUCAAUCCUCUCCUCGCCAGUUUUUUCAGCAAGACCAUCGGCAGUCUCAUCGCAAGAAGAACUGCACAGGUGAUUGUGUUCUUGAGGAAGAAGGACAAGUUCAUCAGCCUGCUGUUGAAGCACAUCGGCACCUCGGCCCUCAUGGACCUGCUGCUGCGCCUGGUCAGCUGCGUAGAGCCCGCCGGGCUCCGGCAGGAGGUCCUGCAUUGGCUUAAUGAAGAGAAGCUCAUCCAGAGGCUCGUGGAAUUGAUCCACCCGAGUCAGGAUGAAGAUAGGCAGUCCAACGCUUCGCAGACGCUCUGCGACAUCGUCAGGCUGGGCAGGGAGCAGGGCAGCCCGCUGCAGGAAGCUCCAGAGCCAGACCCCCUCCUCAUGGCGCUGGAGUCGCAGGACUGCGUGGAACGGCUGCUGAGGAACAUGUUUGACGGAGCCCAGACCGAGCUCUGCCUCGUCAGCGGGACCCAGGUGCUACUGACCUUGCUUGAGCCCCGGCGGGCGGGUCCUGUCUCUCAGCCGAGGAGUGGGGUCGACAGUGAAGGUUUUCAAGGUGGGAGGAGGGAGCAGAGCUGCUUCGAGGGUGUGACGCCCACAGCCCGUCAGGGCCAUCACCUGGGCACGGCCCCCACCCCCAUACGGAUGGAGGGCUUGCUGGACUCCUGCUCUCAGGGACUGGACAGGCUGUGUGCCGUCAGCUCCGGCGUCCUGCGCGGCAUCGAGCCACGGCUGAAGGACUUCCACCAGCUUCUGCUCAGCCCGCCAAAGAAAGCAGCGAUCCUGACCACCAUUGGCGUGCUGGAGGAGCCCCUGGGUAACGCCCGCCUGCACGGAGCUCGCCUCGUGGCCGCCCUGCUGCACACGAACACGCCCAGCAUCAACCAGGAGCUCUGCCGGCUCAACACCAUGGGCUUGCUGCUGGACCUGUUUGUUAAGUACGCCUGGAAUAACUUCCUGCACUUCCAAGUGGAGCUGUGCAUAGCCGCCAUCCUGUCCCACUCUGCCCGGGAGGACAGGGCCGUGGCCAGCGGACCUGAGGGCGCGGUGGAGCCUCUGCCUUCCAGCGGGGACCCGGAGACCCCCCAGCCUGCCGCCAGCCGCCCUGAGAGCACAAUGGUGACCCACCUGUUCCAGAAGUGUUGCCUGGUCCAGAGGAUCCUGGAGGCCUGGGAAGCCAAUGACCACACACAGGCAGCGGGUGGCAUGAGGCGCGGGAACAUGGGCCAUCUCACCCGGAUCGCCAACGCAGUGGUGCAGAGCCUGGAGGGGGGCCCCGUGCAGACCCAGGUCAGCGAGGUCCUCCGAGGGCUCCCCUCGGAUUGCCGCGGGCGCUGGGAGAGCUUUGUGGAGGAGACGCUGACGGAGGCCAACCGCAGGAACGCGGUGGACCUGGUUAGCACGCACCAUCUUCACCCCUCGAGUGAGGACGAGGACAUGGAGGGCGUUUUCCCUAACGAGCUGUCCCUUCAGCAGGCUUUCUCCGAGUACCAGGUCCAGCAGAUGACGGCCACCUUCGUGGACCAGUUCGGCUUCAGCGACGAGGAGUUUGCUGAGCAGGACGACAGCGUCAACGCCCCAUUUGACAGGAUAGCGGAGAUCAACUUCAGCGUCGACGCUGACGAGGACAGCCCCGGUGCCGCUCUGUUUGAGGCCUGCUGCAGUGACCACAUCCAGCCUUUUGACGAGGACGACGACCUCUGGGAGGACGAGGAGACACACUGUGUGGCCCGAGUGACCAGAGCCAGGUUCGGGGGCCCUCACGCUUCAGAGAGCUGCCGGAAGGACGGCCUGGAGCACCGAGGCCAAGGUGGGGAGGAGAGCUCGGAAGCAGACGGGGCUCGGGCGGGCGCCCCUCGGGCUGCCGUCCAGGAGGAAGGUCCUCGUGUUGAGGGUGGCUCAGAAGCAGGCUCCCCCUGGACGGUGUCUGAUGAGCCAGUGAAUUCCACGGCCUCAGGCCUGGCCCCGGCAGUGGCGAUGGACGUGGGUUCCAGUGUGUGGGCGGCCAGCGCGCCCAGCGCCUCGGCUGCGGAGGAGAGAGGCUGGGCCAAGUUUGCCGACUUCCAGCCUUUCUGCUGCUCUGAGUCGGGGCCCAGGUGCAGCUCCCCCGUGGACAGAGGUCACGGCGAUGCCCAGGGUGGCCUGAACCGGGGCCCAGAGAGAACCCCUGGCCCGGCCACUCUGGGUGCCUGGAACGCAUGUGUUGCCAGGAAGGCGCCCCUGGUGGCCUCCAGCAGCCGAGAGGACAAGCAGAAGGUGGCUUUGGCCUCGGAGGCUGUGAGGAUGGGUCCCGGUCGGGAGGCUCCCCCGCCGCCAGUGUUAGUCCCCAGGUGAGCAGGACAGGCUGGGUGGCGGGCCCCCGGGUGCAAACGGAGGUCUGGCUGUCCGCAGCACUCCGCUGGCCCAGGGGCAGGCCGACCCUCCUGUCCUGAUGGCCCCGUGACUCCUUGGAGGUCAGCUUUGGACAGGAGGGACACUGCUUUGUCCAGGUGGAAGCUGGGGUGACCGUUGAGACAGCACGGGGCCAGCCCGCCUCAGGCCGCGUCGGAGAGAAUGGCCAGGCUUUUGGGGUUCCGGGUGGGCUCUGGAGCUGCCGCUCUCCUGGGGCGGGUGCCUAGUCCCAGACUUGCGCCCACCUCAGUCGGGCGCCUCGGACACACGUGUCCAUCACGCUGGACCGGGAGGACGGGGGUGUUUUGGGACUUUGCUUGGGGCCCUGACCUGGGUCGUCCUCCCUGCAGGCUUGGCCCGUGCACCCCACCCCUGCGCCCAGGGGGCAGGUCCGGGCCUCUGGGGUCGGCUGGUGGACACAUGCCUCCUGGUUGGGCGGGUGGGCAGCGUGAGGAACCGCGUGCGGUGAAGACGGAACGGGGCAGGAGGGCUGGUGGGACGUGAGGGAGAAGGUGGUGCUGGGGUCAAGGCCUGAAGGGGCUGGGGGGGGGGCCGGGGGGCCAGGCCAGACCCCCACGAGGGGACGAGGAACAGAGACUGACCGUGCUGCUCCCGUGAGGUCCCCACCCAGUGACCCUGGAGCGUCCCUGCUGACGCUGGGGGUCCAGUCUAGCUCCCAGGACCCCAGGGUGCGCCCGUCCCCGCUGGCGCCCUGCACUGGGGCUCGGGGCAGUGGGCACAGCCUGGAGGGAGCAGGGUCAAGCUGCACAGUGCGUGUCGGGGGAGGGGCGGUUCACGCCGCCGCUGCAGGGUGGGGCGAGCUUGACGCCUGGGCCCGGGGAGAACCUCAGCGCUGGGGUAAAGGUGUACACGCGGCUCCCAAACGGUUUGAUUCCUUCUUGAAGCUUAGGGUCAUCGAAAUUUUUAAAACCUUUUCCUCUUCCUAACUCCCCGUUCCCCCAAAACCCACCCGGCUCCGAGAAGCAGUUGUUGUUCCGGAAGCAAAGCCUUUUGGUCCUCAGGGCGGUCUUCGCGAGCCUUGGCCAUUGUGGGGGGACACGCGGGGCUCGUCUCCAGGCUCUGCCCUCACUGGCUCGCGAGGGUCAGUGCCGGGCUGGAGGAGACGUCACACAGCAGAAGCAGGCGCUGGGCAGGUGUGGGCUGGUGGGGGCACCGUGGGCUUGCUCUCUGGGCCCCCAGACCAGAGCUGAGUGCCAGGGCUGGGUGUCCCGAGGCCGCCUGCCUCCCGCACUCAGCCUUUCUAGGUGUGGGCGGCGGGAGUGUUGUGGACAGACGUGGCCUGAGAGGUGUUCCAGGGAAGGGCCUUGGGCCUGUGUGGUCCACAGAGCGGUCUGAGUGCGCCACCAGCACGCCUCCAGACCUGGCCUCCCUUGCGCCUGUGGAAGUGACCUCUGCCCCAGUCGGGGCCGUCCUCCCCGAGGCUGCCGUGGCGGCCACCACAGUACCGGGCAACACCGGCCCCGCCUCGG